GGAACUUAAAAAGCGUAACAAGGUCUCCGUUGGUGAACCAGCGGAGGGAUCAUUACUGAGUUUACGCUCUACAACCCUUUGUGAACAUACCUAUAACUGUUGCUUCGGCGGGUAGGGUCUCCGCGACCCUCCCGGCCUCCCGCCCCCGGGCGGGUCGGCGCCCGCCGGAGGAUAACCAAACUCUGAUUUAACGACGUUUCUUCUGAGUGGUACAAGCAAAUAAUCAAAACUUUUAACAACGGAUCUCUUGGUUCUGGCAUCGAUGAAGAACGCAGCGAAAUGCGAUAAGUAAUGUGAAUUGCAGAAUUCAGUGAAUCAUCGAAUCUUUGAACGCACAUUGCGCCCGCCAGCAUUCUGGCGGGCAUGCCUGUUCGAGCGUCAUUUCAACCCUCAAGCUCUGCUUGGUGUUGGGGCCCUACAGCCGAUGUAGGCCCUCAAAGGUAGUGGCGGACCCUCCCGGAGCCUCCUUUGCGUAGUAACUUUACGUCUCGCACUGGGAUCCGGAGGGACUCUUGCCGUAAAACCCCCAAUUUUCCAAAGGUUGACCUCGGAUCAGGUAGGAAUACCCGCUGAACUUAAGCAUAUCAA
rnacentral:rRNA from 1 species